CGCGGAGUGGAGCAGUCCGGUAGCUCGCUGGGUUCAUAUCCCGGAGGUCGUGAGUUCGAAUCUCACCUCCGCAACCA
rnacentral:tRNA from 1 species